AUACGUAGGUGGCAAGCGUUGUCCGGAAUUAUUGGGCGUAAAGCGCUCGCAGGCGGUCUUUUAAGUCUGAUGUGAAAUCUUGCGGCUUAACCGUAAGCGGUCAUUGGAAACUGGAGGACUUGAGUACAGAAGAGGAGAGUGGAAUUCCACGUGUAGCGGUGAAAUGCGUAGAGAUGUGGAGGAACACCAGUGGCGAAGGCGACUCCCUGGUCUGUAACUGACGCUGAGGAGCGAAAGCGUGGGGAGC
rnacentral:rRNA from 1 species